GGAAAUGUGGCUUAGUGGUAGAGUGCUUGCCUAGCAUGCAUGAAGCCCUGGGUUCAAUUCCUCAGAACCA
rnacentral:tRNA from 1 species